rnacentral:rRNA from 1 species
GAGUUUGAUCAUGGCUCAGGAUGAACGCUGGCGGCGUGCCUAAUACAUGCAAGUCGAGCGAACGGACGAGAAGCUUGCUUCUCUGAUGUUAGCGGCGGACGGGUGAGUAACACGUGGAUAACCUACCUAUAAGACUGGGAUAACUUCGGGAAACCGGAGCUAAUACCGGAUAAUAUUUUGAACCGCAUGGUUCAAAAAGUGAAAGACGGUCUUGCUGUCACUUAUAGAUGGAUCCGCGCUGCAUUAGCUAGUUGGUAAGGUAACGGCUUACCAAGGCAACGAUGCAUAGCCGACCUGAGAGGGUGAUCGGCCACACUGGAACUGAGACACGGUCCAGACUCCUACGGGAGGCAGCAGUAGGGAAUCUUCCGCAAUGGGCGAAAGCCUGACGGAGCAACGCCGCGUGAGUGAUGAAGGUCUUCGGAUCGU